AGAGGCUGCAAAACAAAGAAACAUCAAAGUGACGACUGAAAGGUACGAUUAGAGCUCACAAAUAAAAACACUGCUCCUUCUGCUGGGACAGACUUUACAGGUGAACACCAUUUAACCUCAUCAAAUAUCAAACCUAAUGAGAUUUAAAUAACUGAUUCUCAGAAGAACUGAUCUUCAUUUUUAGGGUUGUUAAGUAGGUUACGUCUAGGGUUAAAGGGACACUUCACCCAUUUGCAUUAAGCUUUGUAUCAUUAGAACCCCAGUCAUAUUUUUGAAUGGUCGUGCAUCAUUCCCUCACUUUCCCUGAGAGGGGAGAAAUAAGGAUUUUAGUGUUGCACUUCCUGCUUCCAAUGAUGUAAAAAUCGUCAUUUUGCGUCAUUGGAAGCAGGAAGUCUCAUAUCUCUGUAGAGGGGGUGAGACUACAAACACUACUUCCUCUUUUUUUUUCACUCACGCUACAGACCUAUUACAGAUCAGUGGGUGGGACUUCACCUGCAGAAACUAAAAAAUAUAACCGCCAUCUUGUUUGGUAGCUAAGCGGCGGCGCUGACGAGACAGACGUUACGACGAUGGUAAUCAAUGUAAUAUGGAAGAAAUUUCUAAAGUAUGAUGGUCGAAUCAGAUGUUCGUGGCUACCUUUAUGAGCCGCAAUAUAGCGAGCAGCGGCUGAGGCUGCUGCCGCCGAGGCAGAGGACCUGCCUGUCGCGGACGAGGAGCCCGGACUGGCUCGAGCUGGGGCGGACUGCUGGUGCCUGUGCUCUCGCUGUGCGCCUACGGACACACGGACGUCUGACUUUAAACUUGCAGUUGCAUUGCUAACUACUGUGGCACGCUAAACACAAAGACCAUGUAUCGCUAUAAAUGUGUGCUCAAUGUCUUGUUGACAAUAUCGCCUAACAGCCUUUCUGGGGUCCUGCAAGGCGAGAGAUUGGGUCGAGGCCAUCUUGUCGUUUUACCCACUGAUGUGGUGCAGGCUAUCUGACAGAAACAUCCAGCUCCAGAUGGCCAGUACUGCGGGCACCAAGGAGUUGAGGACGCUCAGGAGGAACUAUAACUAAAUGGUUUACAUUCACGUUGUUGUAGUCCUUGAUAGUGUUAGUGGGAGCGGCUUGCGGAGCUGUGCAUCGUGGGAGUUGUUGUCUUUAAUACAAAUGCGCCCUAAAGUCACUUUCUGUCUUUUCUCGGUCAAAUAGGCACCAAAUUCAAAAUGUAUGUUACAUUUCGACUACAUAUAUAACCCACUUUCAAUAAAUAUUAAUGUUUCCACGGGUGAAAUGCUCCUUUA
rnacentral:lncRNA from 15 species